AUAAUUUCAAAACUAAAAAUACUUACAUCCACGAAUUUUUAAUGUAGUCAUUUCUCCCUCAUCUUUACCCUGUGAAAAUGUUUGAAGGAUAGCGUUCCACCGGGAUUCUUUAAUUUUACAGAUGCAGGAGAGAAGCAAGCCCCAGGAUAUUGUUAUGAUAGACUUGACAAAAGAGGAAGAGAAAGAUCCUUACUGUAUGAUAGACUUGACAAUAGAGGAAGAGAAAGAUCC